rnacentral:rRNA from 1 species
CCCUGCUUGCAGGGUACUCGAGUGGCGAACGGGUGAGUAACACGUGGGUGAUCUGCCCUGCACUUCGGGAUAAGCCUGGGAAACUGGGUCUAAUACCGGAUAGGAGCCAUUUUUAGUGUGAUGGUUGGAAAGUUUUUUCGGUGUAGGAUGAGCUCGCGGCCUAUCAGCUUGUUGGUGGGGUAAUGGCCUACCAAGGCGGCGACGGGUAGCCGGCCUGAGAGGGUGGACGGCCACAUUGGGACUGAGAUACGGCCCAGACUCCUACGGGAGGCAGCAGUGGGGAAUAUUGCACAAUGGGCGCAAGCCUGAUGCAGCGACGCCGCGUGGGGGAUGACGGCCUUCGGGUUGUAAACUCCUUUCGCUAGGGACGAAGCUUUUUGUGACGGUACCUAGAUAAGAAGCACCGGCUAACUACGUGCCAGCAGCCGCGGUAAUACGUAGGGUGCGAGCGUUGUCCGGAAUUACUGGGCGUAAAGGGCUCGUAGGUGGUUUGUCGCGUCGUCUGUGAAAUUCCGGGGCUUAACUCCGGGCGUGCAGGCGAUACGGGCAUAACUUGAGUACUGUAGGGGUAACUGGAAUUCCUGGUGUAGCGGUGAAAUGCGCAGAUAUCAGGAGGAACACCGAUGGCGAAGGCAGGUUACUGGGCAGUUACUGACGCUGAGGAGCGAGAGCAUGGGUAGCGAACAGGAUUAGAUACCCUGGUAGUCCAUGCCGUAAACGGUGGGCGCUAGGUGUGAGGGUCUUUUCACGACUUUCGUGCCGUAGCUAACGCAUUAAGCGCCCCGCCUGGGGAGUACGGCCGCAAGGCUAAAACUCAAAGGAAUUGACGGGGGCCCGCACAAGCGGCGGAGCAUGUGGAUUAAUUCGAUGCAACGCGAAGAACCUUACCUGGGCUUGACAUACACCGGAUCGGGCUAGAGAUAGUCUUUCCCUUUGUGGCUGGUGUACAGGUGGUGCAUGGUUGUCGUCAGCUCGUGUCGUGAGAUGUUGGGUUAAGUCCCGCAACGAGCGCAACCCUUGUCUUAUGUUGCCAGCAUUUGGUUGGGGACUCAUGAGAGACUGCCGGGGUCAAC